rnacentral:misc_RNA from 1 species
ACGUAUCUCUGACGGUGGUGCGGCGCGCCCAGCUCCUGCCCGCGAGGGCCGUGCAGCGGGCGACCGUCCCCGUCUCCACCACAAACCCACUGUGAACCUUCACGGCAGAGGGAGGGAGACCUCUCAAAGCCGCAUACACAAACCCCAGUCAAAAGAAUGUCGUGCGGACCAGUGCCGCCUAAAACACAAAA